rnacentral:rRNA from 1 species
GACGAACGCUGGCGGCGUGCUUAACACAUGCAAGUCGAACGGAAAGGCCCUGCUUUUGUGGGGUGCUCGAGUGGCGAACGGGUGAGUAACACGUGAGUAACCUGCCCUUGACUUUGGGAUAACUUCAGGAAACUGGGGCUAAUACCGGAUAGGAGCUCCUGCUGCAUGGUGGGGGUUGGAAAGUUUCGGCGGUUGGGGAUGGACUCGCGGCUUAUCAGCUUGUUGGUGGGGUAGUGGCUUACCAAGGCUUUGACGGGUAGCCGGCCUGAGAGGGUGACCGGCGACAUUGGGACUGAGAGACGGCCCAGACUCCUACGGGAGGCAGCAGGGGGGAAUAUGGCACAAUGGGCGGAAGCCGGAUGCAGCAACGCCGCGUGCGGGAUGACGGCCUUCGGGGUGUAAACCGCUUUCGCCUGUGACGAAGCGUGAGUGACGGUAAUGGGUAAAGAAGCACCGGCUAACUACGUG